AUUAAUUAAUUAUUUAAUUUAAUCAUAAUUUAAGGGACAUUAUGUAAUUAAUCAUAUUUGCACGCCUUUUGAUGGUGAAAUAUAGUAUACUACAUAUUCUACAUCAAACUUAUAACUGUGCCUGUGAUUAUGUAAAUAAAUGAUUGAUUGAUUAUUUUCAAGUGCUUGUACGGUAGUGAUGUCAGAUAGGAAUCGAAUGUCAAAAUUAUUGAUUCCUAACUUAUUACUCCCUUAAUAAUACACAUUGGUAUUUGAAUAUCGAACUGUGUCCGCCAAACGGAUGGAUAAACAACGACAAAGAAUUUACACACACAAUGAUACAAUGCGAAGGUGCAGUUUUAAUAUGGACAAAUAAUUGGUGUGUUAGUUUUGAUACAUCAAUGAACUGUUAACAAUGUGAUUGAUUCAGUCACCAAGUAAAGAAUAUUUUUAUGUCUUUAGAAUUUCUAUUCGGUAU